AUGUGGUUUGGUUCGAUGCUCUCAUUUAACAUUUCGCAGAGGAGUUCUAUUGCACUGUUUUCCUGUGCUCCACAUUGCACGUAUCCUGAUAUCAGUGCUGUCCAUGACAUGACAUUAUGUGUGGGCAUUCGUUUGAAGACUUUCCUUGCACAUUCCAUGGACUGUUCCAUUUGCAAUUUUGUGUACAUGUCCACAAGUCCACAGCUCACACAAGUAUCAGAAACCAGCCCCAGCCGUAGUACUAGAGAAUGCAGUUGCUGCCCGAAUCUGAGUGAUCCCUGCUCUGCGCAUGCCGAAAUCAUGCUGCUCAUGGUGUAUCCGUCAGGCUCAAAACCAUCUUCUAGCAUGCCAAGAAAUAACUCAACCGCCUUGCCUGCACACCCGCCUUGCACAUACCGUGUAAUCAUCAGCGUCCAGACGACCACUGUCCUCUCAACCAACCCAUCAAACACCUUCCGUGCUGCCACCAGGUCCCCGUUCCUGGCGAACAUAUCAAUCAAGGCGCAGCCCACCGACACGUCGGUGCCCCAGAACCCCGUCUUGAGCACAAAACCAAGGACCGCGCCGCCAGACAGGCGAAAGAGCUCCCCCGGAAAGCAGGCACGAGCCGCGGCGCAGAGCGUGAACGCGUUGGGCCGGAGCCCCGACUCGAGCAUCUCGCCGAGGAGGAGCAGGGCCUCCUGCUCCGCGCCGUUUCGCGCGAGGCAGAAGGCCAUUGCCGUCCAGGACACGAGGUCCCGCAGGCCGCGCAUUCCGUCGAACACCCUGCGCGCGGCGCUCACGUGGCCGCACUUGGAGUACAUGGUGAGGAGUGAGUUGGCGACCAAGGCGUCGGUGUCGAGGAUCUCGGUGCCGAGGAGGCGGCGGUGGAGCGCGCGGCCGAGGCGGAGGUCGCCGGCGCGCGCGGCGGCGGCGAGGAGCGACGCCGCGGCGGAGGCGGAGGGGUUUUCGGACGAGAGCGCCUGCAAGUUUGGUAUCCGUGGGUUGAAGUGGCGAUGCGGGGUCUGGAAUGGAGGUGACGACGGUGGGAGCCCGGGGGGAAGGCCGGCGAGGGUUGAAGCCAUGGCAGCACCGGCGGGAAGGGAGGGAGAGGGCAUCGACGUUGAUGCCGGCCGUUGGGCAACUGACAGCCGUCCCGCUCUCGGAUAA
rnacentral:rRNA from 1 species